rnacentral:lncRNA from 1 species
AAAACAAUUUACGCACAUAAAAAUCUCAAUUCAUAAACUAAAUAUAAAAAGAAAAUACAGUAUAAAAUAUGAAUCCAUCACAAAUGUUUAUUAAUAUGCCAUUUCAACUUAAAAUGAAAGAAGAAUAGAAAAAAAAUAAAAAACAUAAAAAAAAAUCACGAGGAGGUAGAAGAGAACUCAUUCUUAAAUAAGUCUCUCUUUACUCGGAUAAUACAUGAGAAAAAUGAUGUCAAGUGACAAUUGAUGACUGACUAGUUUCUAGACAUUAAAGUGAAAGUUGAUGAUCAACUAGCUUCCGG